rnacentral:rRNA from 1 species
AUACGUAGGGAGCGAGCGUUGUCCGGAAUUACUGGGCGUAAAGGGCGCGUAGGCGGCGCUUCAAGUCGUCUGUCAAAUGGGAGGGCUUAACCCUUUUUCGCAGACGAAACUGGAGAGCUUGAGAAGCAGAGAGGCAAACAGAAUUCUUGGUGUAGCGGUGAAAUGCGUAGAUAUCAGGAAGAAUACCAGUGGCGAAGGCGGUUUGCUGGCUGCAUACUGACGCUGAAGCGCGAAAGCCAGGGGAGCAAACGGGAUUAGAUACCCCGGUAGUCCUGGCAGUAAACGAUGUAUGCUGGGUGUGAGACUAGCGAUAGUUUCGUGCCGAAGUUAACGCGAUAAGCAUACCGCCUGGGGAGUACGGUCGCAAGAUUGAAACUCAAAGGAAUUGACGGGG